UGAGCAGCACCAAUACUGAUGGGAACACAAAAGACCAGAUGUGUCAGUGCCUAGGAGGACUUUAUCAAGCCAGGGGACAAAGGAGGACUCAGAUGGCACCCAGGACAGGACUUGUUCUGUAGGCCAGGAUGCCUGGAGCAUGUAAUAGUCCUCCCACCGCGUGCCGUUGAUGCCGGAAUCGCAGUGUAUCGCUGUGGCAUUUCAUGCGUAUUGGAUAUUAGCAUUGUCCCUGACGCUUGCUUUUCUCUAAGUAAGGAGAAUGUGCAGUGGUUGAGCUCAGUAGCAGAGUGAAGCCUAGAUCAUAAGGAUUUUAAGAAAGGCUGACAUAGAGCUGAAACAUCAUCAUCAUCAUCAUCAUAACCAUCAGCGGCAGCAGCAGCAGCAGCAACAACAACCGAAACCCCACCUGUACCUUCAUAUUACAUGGCCAUUUGGAAUGUUUUCAUUAAAAGUGAUAAUUAGAGCUUUAGUAACUUUUUUGGAAGGAGAAUUAUUUUUAAA
rnacentral:sRNA from 1 species